GUUGGGAUGGCUGAGUGCUCUAAAACACUGCCUUCAGAUUGCAGUCUCCCCAAGAGGUGUGGGUUUGAAUCCCACUUCUGAUA